rnacentral:lncRNA from 1 species
GGCUCAGGGUGGGGCAGUAGGUGAUAAAGAGCCCAGAGAGAGGAAAAGUGACCCUUUGUGACCUGGGCCCUGGUCUCUGUUGACAUCUUGGGCCUCAGCUGCAGUCUUUGCUUGAGCAGAAGAGUCAUGGAAAUUUCCACCCAGAUUCCUUUCCCAGCACUCAGUCCCCAGCUCCACAUUCUUCUAGGCCCUGCUGGGCUGAGUUCCGCUUGUGAGGGCUGCAGGCUUGAAGAGGCUGAGGACAGCCUCCAGGUCACGGGGACAGCCACAGAAGGCCAGUGGAGUGGACGCAUCAGAAUUUCAGAGGAGCGAGGGAGCCCUGUUAACAAACACAUAGUCAUCCGAGAAAAUGUACGCUGCCUUGGGACAGAGACUACUGAUGGAGUGGUGAUAAGUGGCGACUUUGGAUACAGUGGCCAGAGGGGUCCUGUGCAAGGAGUGCCCUGUGGUCAGGGUGACGAGGAGUCUGCCUUCUGAAGAGCUGUAGAGGAGCAUUCCCAGAAGACGAGCCAAAGACAGCAAAGACCAGGAAUCUGGAAGGGCCGGGGCACUAAGAAACAGGAGGGAGGGGGCCCGCAUUGCGGGCACAGGCAGCUUCAGGCCACUCUUUCACAGCCUUUCCUUUCUCUUGUCCCAUGGCCACCCCCCCACUCCCAAUCCAGGCCCCAUGACCUCUGGCCUGGGCUAUGGCACUGGGCCUCAGUGCCCUCCCCUCUGCUGCUUCUCCCAGCUCUGCCAUCCUGCCCAGAGCAGCCAGACAAUGCUUCCGGAAGCCAGGGCUUCUCCCAGCUCAGAAGCCAUCCUUCUGCCCUAAGAGCCAUGUCCAUGGCCCUCUCCAGGUGUCCACGCCAGCCCAGACCUCACUGCAGUCUUCUCUUGCUUUCCUGCCAACAGCCGCACCCAGCACCCACCUGGCCAGUCAUUUCCUCCUCCCCGCACAAGCCUUACCAAUUUGGGGUGUGCAGGUGCAGGGCCUCUGUUUACCUAUUCUGUCUGGGAUAUUCCCCACCCCCUGCCCCUCAUAAAAGUCUAUUAAAUCCUACACAUCCUUUUUGUUGUUGUUGUUGUUGAGAUGGAGGCUCACUGUCGCCCAGGCUGGAGGGCAGUGGCGCAAUCUCGGCUCAUGGCAACCUCCGCCUCCCGGGUUCAAGCGAUUCUCCUGCCUGCCUCAGCUUCCCGAGUAGCUGGGAU